rnacentral:rRNA from 1 species
GUCAGCGACUUAUAUUCUGUAGCAAGGUUAACCGAAUAGGGGAGCCGGAGGGAAACCGAGUCUUAAUUGGGCGUUAAGUUGCAGGGUAUAGACCCGAAACCCGGUGAUCUAGCCAUGGGCAGGUUGAAGGUUGGGUAACACUAACUGGAGGACCGAACCGACUAAUGUUGAAAAAUUAGCGGAUGACCUGUGGCUGGGGGUGAAAGGCCAAUCAAACCGGGAGAUAGCUGGUUCUCCCCGAAAGCUAUUUAGGUAGCGCCUCGUGAAUUCAUCUCCGGGGGUAGAGCACUGUUUCGGCUAGGGGGCCAUCCCGGCUUACCAACCCGAUGCAAACUGCGAAUACCGGAGAAUGUUAUCACGGGAGACACACGGCGGGUGCUAACGUCCGUCGUGAAGAGGGAAACAACCCAGACCGCCAGCUAAGGUCCCAAAGUCAUGGUUAAGUGGGAAACGAUGUGGGAAGGCCCAGACAGCCAGGAUGUUGGCUUAGAAGCAGCCAUCAUUUAAAGAAAGCGUAAUAGCUCACUGGUCGAGUCGGCCUGCGCGGAAGAUGUAACGGGGCUAAACCAUGCACCGAAGCUGCGGCAGCGAACGUAUCACCCAAGACAACUUUACGGAGUUGACGAUUGACGGAGCGAAGCGACGUCAAAGCGUUCAUUAAAGUCGAGUUGGCUUAGGGAUACGUUCGUUGGGUAGGGGAGCGUUCUGUAAGCCUGUGAAGGUGUGUCGUGAGGCAUGCUGGAGGUAUCAGAAGUGCGAAUGCUGACAUAAGUAACGAUAAAGCGGGUGAAAAGCCCGCUCGCCGGAAGACCAAGGGUUCCUGUCCAACGUUAAUCGGGGCAGGGUGAGUCGACCCCUAAGGCGAGGCCGAAAGGCGUAGUCGAUGGGAAACGGGUUAAUAUUCCCGUACUUGGUGUUACUGCGAAGGGGGGACGGAGAAGGCUAUGUUGGCCGGGCGACGGUUGUCCCGGUUUAAGCGUGUAGGUGUGUGUUCCAGGUAAAUCCGGUUCACUUUAACACUGAGGCGUGACGACGAGGCACUACGGUGCUGAAGCAACAAAUGCCCUGCUUCCAGGAAAAGCCUCUAAGCAUCAGGUAACACGAAAUCGUACCCCAAACCGACACAGGUGGUCAGGUAGAGAAUACCAAGGCGCUUGAGAGAACUCGGGUGAAGGAACUAGGCAAAAUGGUGCCGUAACUUCGGGAGAAGGCACGCUGACACGUAGGUGAAGUGAUUUACUCAUGGAGCUGAAGUCAGUCGAAGAUACCAGCUGGCUGCAACUGUUUAUUAAAAACACAGCACUGUGCAAACACGAAAGUGGACGUAUACGGUGUGACGCCUGCCCGGUGCCGGAA